ensembl:lncRNA novel transcript, antisense to KIAA0355
GUGCGCAUGUCCCCGCGCAGGGUCGGGCGCUGGGGUGUGGAGACUGAACCUUGCAGACACCCGGGUCCGCACGUCUGGGAUGGACGUGAGACAGUCUCGCUAUAUUACCCAGGCUGGAGUGCAGUGUCAAGAUCUCGACUCACUGCAGCCUUGAACUCCUGGGCUCAAGUGAUCCUCCCACAGUGCUGGGAUUACAGGCGUGAGCCACCGCACCCGGCCUCUAGUUCUGUCUUUUUGCUCAGUAUUAGAAUUCGUAAGUUCUGGCCCCAGCAACUCGUCCUUUCAUCUGUCUCAAGUUGCACUGUGGUGGUCACAGGAGCUGUCCUGCACCUUGCACAUGUGGCCAUGAACAAGACUCGCUCCUUGCUCUCAUGGGGCCUUCAUUCCAGUGAGACACAAAUGCAAACACAAAAUUCCAGAAGAGUGCUGAGUGCUAUCAUGAGAAACGAAGACAGGCUGGAAGAUGGGCUCUGACCCCAGAAAACCGAUGGAGAGGCCCAAGCAGCCUUGGGAGCAACAGGCUAUAAUGACAGCGUUCCAUAAAUCACGUGGGCUUCGCAGCCACACUCAGUUCAGUAUAAAGGC